rnacentral:rRNA from 1 species
GACGAACCGUCCUAACGUUAUUCGGAAUCACUGGGCUUAAAGGGCGCGUAGGCGGCUCGCGAGGUCGGGGGUGAAAGCCCGCAGCUCAACUGCGGAAGUGCCUUCGAUACCGGCGAGCUCGAGGAGGGUAGGGGUGCGCGGAACUUCUGGUGGAGCGGUGAAAUGCGUUGAUAUCAGAAGGAACGCCGGCGGCGAAAGCGGCGCACUGGACCCCCCCUGACGCUGAGGCGCGAAAGCCAGGGGAGCAAACGGG